rnacentral:misc_RNA from 1 species
UCCGAGUUGACCCCGGCAGUCUCCUGCGAGUCCCCGCCAUUACGCGCUGGCAACACAGGACAAGGGUUGCGCUCGUUGCGGGACUUAACCCAACAUCUCACGACACGAGCUGACGACAGCCAUGCACCACCUGUAUACCGACCACAAGGGGGGCCGUAUCUCUACGGCUUUCCGGUAUAUGUCAAACCCAGGUAAGGUGGGGAUGACGUCGGAGGAAUUCCA